CAGCAGCCGCGGUAAUACGUAUGUCACAAGCGUUAUCCGGAUUUAUUGGGCGUAAAGCGCGUCUAGGUGGUUAUGUAAGUCUGAUGUGAAAAUGCAGGGCUCAACUCUGUAUUGCGUUGGAAACUGUGUAACUAGAGUACUGGAGAGGUAAGCGGAACUACAAGUGUAGAGGUGAAAUUCGUAGAUAUUUGUAGGAAUGCCGAUGGGGAAGCCAGCUUACUGGACAGAUACUGACGCUAAAGCGCGAAAGCGUGGGUAGCAAACAGGAUUAGAGACCCGCGUAGUCCCUGUCUCUUAUACA
rnacentral:rRNA from 1 species